rfam:Angiostrongylus costaricensis strain Costa Rica genome assembly, scaffold: ACOC_scaffold0001404
CCAACGGCCCUCUUUAGGGCCACAAAUGACAGAAUGCGAACAUAUUU